CGAGAAGUUUGGCCAAAAACAAGUCAGUAUAAAACUUCAGGAUAAACUUUACAGCAACAUGGACACGAAUGCUGCUGCUACUGCUACUACUCCACUUCCAACUCCGUUGGUAAAAGAGAAGUGGGAAGUUGAAGCUCGCAAGGGAAAGGAAGACGUUAAACUGACUACAAUUUCGAUGGCCGACUCUAUCUAUCCAUUCGAACGGAGGCGGAGACGCAGUUGAAGCCGAAGCCAGCCGCCCCUUGUGGCGAGAGUGACAGGAUCGCUCUUUGCGAGCAACAAUUAAACAUGGAUGACCGUUGUUACGUGGAUGGAAGCAUUAAAACUGUAAUUUUACUCGAAUCAUCAUCAAGUUGUCUCCCUGCCGGACACAUCGUACGGCACUUUUGCCGGUGCUCCUAGGGCUGAACCACAGCAGCGACGUCGGCAGCCCUGUCUUUCAUGAUUGCGUUUGGUAUUCCUCG
rnacentral:lncRNA from 1 species